GGCUCGGUAGCUUAGUUGGAAAAGCACUCGUCUAGCGUAUAAGGGUCGUGAGUUCAAGUCUCACCUGAGCUG
rnacentral:tRNA from 1 species